CCUACGGGUGGCAGCAGUGGGGAAUAUUGGACAAUGGGGGCAACCCUGAUCCAGCCAUGCCGCGUGUGUGAAGAAGGCCCUCGGGUUGUAAAGCACUUUCAGUGAGGAAGAACGCCUGGUGGUUAAUACCCAUCAGGAAAGACAUCACUCACAGAAGAAGCACCGGCUAACUCCGUGCCAGCAGCCGCGGUAAUACGGAGGGUGCGAGCGUUAAUCGGAAUUACUGGGCGUAAAGCGCGCGUAGGUGGCUUGAUAAGCCGGUUGUGAAAGCCCCGGGCUCAACCUGGGAACGGCAUCCGGAACUGUCAAGCUAGAGUGCAGGAGAGGAAGGUAGAAUUCCCGGUGUAGCGGUGUAAUGCGUAGAGAUCGGGAGGAAUACCAGUGGCGAAGGCGGCCUUCUGGACUGACACUGACACUGAGGUGCGAAGGCGUGGGUAGCAAACAGGAUUAGAUACCCCGGUAGUC
rnacentral:rRNA from 1 species